rnacentral:rRNA from 1 species
GUGGGNAGGCUAUGAACCUUUUCUUCUGGGAAGAGGGGAGCCAUCAGUGAGAUACCACUCUUGGUAAGCUAGAGCGCUCAGUCUUCACCGUCAUCCGGUAAGACGACAGUUUCAGGCGGGCAGUUUGACUGGGGCAGUCACCUCCCAAAAGGUAAUGGAGGUGUGCAAAGGUUCCCUCAGGCUGGACGGAAAUCAGCCAUAGAGUGUAAAAGCAUAAGGGAGCUUGACUGCGAGACUGACAUGUCAAGCAGAGACGAAAGUCGGCUUUAGUGAUCCGACGGUGCUGUGUGGAAGGGCCGUCGCUCAACGGAUAAAAGUUACUCUAGGGAUAAC